AGCGGCGGACGGGUGAGUAACGCGUGAGUAACCUGCCCUAUACACAGGGAUAACAUUGAGAAAUUGAUGCUAAUACCUGAUAAGCUAACGGAUGGGCAUCCAUCAGUUAGAAAAAUUCCGGUGGUAUAGGAGGGGCUCGCGUCUGAUUAGCUAGUUGGUGGGGUAAAGGCCUACCAAGGCGACGAUCAGUAGCCGACCUGAGAGGGUGAUCGGCCACAUUGGAACUGAGACACGGUCCAAACUCCUACGGGAGGCAGCAGUGGGGAAUAUUGCACAAUGGGGGGAACCCUGAUGCAGCAACGCCGCGUGAAGGAAGAAGUAUUUCGGCAUGUAAACUUCUAUCGACAGGGAAGAAAGAAAUGACGGUACCUGAAUAAGAAGCACCGGCUAAAUACGUGCCAGCAGCCGCGGUAACACGUAUGGUGCAAGCGUUAUCCGGAUUUACUGGGUGUAAAGGGUGAGUAGGCGGUUAUGCAAGUCAUAUGUGAAAUUCUGGAGCUUAACUCCAGCGCUGCAUAAGAAACUGUGUAACUAGAGUACAGGAGAGGUAAGCGGAAUUCCUAGUGUAGCGGUGAAAUGCGUAGAUAUUAGGAAGAACACCGGUGGCGAAGGCGGCUUACUGGACUGAAACUGACGCUGAGUCACGAAAGCGUGGGGAGCGAACAGGAUUAGAUACCCUGGUAGUCCACGCUGUAAACGAUGAGUGCUAGGUGU
rnacentral:rRNA from 1 species